rnacentral:rRNA from 1 species
UAAGGAAUAUUGCUCAAUGGGAGAAAUCCUGAAGCAGCAACGCCGCGUGGAGGAUGAAGGGUCUAUGACUUGUAAACUCCUGUAAAGAAGGAAAAAAUUCCCAUUAGAUGGGAGAUGAUGGUACUUCUGGAGUAAGCCCCGGCUAACUACGUGCCAGCAGCCGCGGUAAUACGUAGGGGGCAAGCGUUGUCCGGAUUUACUGGGUGUAAAGGGUGCUCAGGCGGAUUUGUAAGUCAGAGGUGAAAUCUUACAGCUUAACUGUGAAACUGCCUUUGNUACUGCAAGCCUAGAGUAUGGAAGAGAGUGAUGGAAUAUCUGGUGUAGCAGUGAAAUGCGUAGAUAUCAGAUAGAACACCAAUGGCGAAGGCAGUCACUUGGUCCAUUACUGACGGUAAAGCACGAAAGCGUGGGUAGCAAACA